CAUUUCUACAGCAGUCAUCAUUAAAUUCAUUGAAGUUUCUACACGCAAGUGUUCCUCGAGUUAAAAUACAUCCGCCUUAGCGUGUGAAUAAAUUUUUUUUUUUUUUUUUUUUUAAUAAGUUUUAAAUAAUUUUAAAUAAUUUUUUUAGAUAUAAUUAUUUUUUAGACGAAUUUUUAUUUUUUCAAUUAACAUUUGACAGAAUUACUUUUUUAAACAAAUUUUUACUUAACAUAAUUCUUAUAUAUCGAAUUUUUAUGACCGAACAAACAAUCGAUUUUGGCGCGAUUUUUAAAAUCAACCAAUCACAAUUUUAUGAAUAAUUUUUGAUUGAUUAAUUUUAAAAAAUCGCGCCGAAAUCUUUCUGUCGAUUGUUUAUUCGGACAUUUUGCAAUUUCGGACAAAUGAAAAUUUGGCGUUUUAAGAAUUCUGCCAAAUAAAAUUUCAGUGCCUAUAAGAAUUCUGUUAAGGGGGGAACACCAGUUGUAACUUUCGAAAAAUCAAUUUUUUUUUUUGUGCAUUUUCUUAAAGUACACAUAUUUAGAAAUGUGUCUGUAAAUUUCAAAGUUGAUCCGGUGAAAAAUAAAUGAGAUAUACAGAACACUGCAUCGGCGCGUCCCGUGGCUUCAUACAAGGUGGCCAGCCAUAACUGACCCUAACGACAGAUGGCCUUUUCCUAUGAUUUAGAAACGGCAACCACUGCGGAAGAGUUAUUAUAUGGUCCAAGAAUCGAUGACUCUUUGUAACUUGGAAACAAAAUUUCUUCUGAACAAAAAAAAACGAAGUAUACUUGCAGAAUGCUGGUCACCGCAAUUCGCCUUUUUUCUUAAGACGCCACUUCAAUGGCUCAUAUCUCCAAAAGUUUUUGUUAAAAAAAUUUUUUUUUUCUUUUAAAUUACAGCUUUUUACAUGUACUUUUAACUAAUAAAUAGUAUUCUUUAAAAA